rnacentral:rRNA from 1 species
AUCGAACGCUGGCGGCAGGCUUAACACAUGCAAGUCGAGCGAGUGGCGGACGGGCGAGUAAUGCUUGGGAAUCUAGCUUAUGGAGGGGGAUAACUACGGGAACCUGUAGCUAAUACCGCUUACCAGAGGAUGAGCCCAAGUGGGAUUAGGUAGUUGGUGAGGUAAAGGUUCACCAAGCCGACGAUGUCUAGCCGGUCUGAGAGGAUGACCGGCCACACUGGGACUGAGACACGGCCCAGACUCCUACGGGAGGCAGCAGUGGGGAAUAUUGCGCAAUGGGGGCAACCUGACGCAGCCAUGCCGCGUGAAUGAAGAAGGCCUUCGGGUUGUAAAGUUCUUUCGUUAGCGAGGCGUUAACUACAGAAGAAGCACCGGCUAACUCCGUGCCAGCAGCCGCGGUAAUAC